GCGAAACCUUUACACUGCACGCCAGUGCGAUAAGGGGAUCCCAAGUGCGCAGGCAUAGAGCCUGCGCUUUUGUACACCGUAGGGAGGUGUACGAAUAAGGGCUGGGCAAGACCGGUGCCAGCCGCCGCGGUAAUACCGGCAGCCCGAGUGAUGGCCGAUCUUAUUGGGCCUAAAGCGUCCGUAGCUGGCCGCGCAAGUCCAUCGGAAAAUCCACCCGCUCAACGGGUGGGCGUCCGGUGGAAACUGCGUGGCUUGGGACCGGAAGGCGCGACGGGUACGUCCGGGGUAGGAGUGAAAUCCCGUAAUCCUGGACGGACCGCCGAUGGCGAAAGCACGUCGCGAGGACGGAUCCGACAGCGAGGGACGAAAGCCAGGGUCUCGAACCGGAUUAGAUACCCGGGUAGUCCUGGCCGUAAACAAUGUCUGUUAGGUGUGGCUCCCACUACGAGUGGGUGCUGUGCCGUAGGGAAGCCGCUAAACAGACCGCCUGGGAAGUACGUCCGCAAGGAUGAAACUUAAAGGAAUUGGCGGGGGAGCACUACAACCGGAGGAGCCUGCGGUUUAAUUGGAAUCA
rnacentral:rRNA from 1 species